rnacentral:ncRNA from 1 species
UUAAAGUUUUAUUCUAGCUUAAAUUUUGGUUUUAUUUAACUUUUAUAUGUAAAUUUUAGUAGGAUUAAAAAUUUUUUUAUAUAAAAUAUUUUAAUUUAAAAAUUCGCAAUAAAAAAUUUUAAAUAUUAAUGAAAAUUAGAUUUAGGGAUAAAUAUUAGUAUUAACAAAAUUUGUGCCAGCAGUUGCGGUUAUACAAAUAAUAUAAAUUAAAAUAUUUUAUAAUAGUUAAUUUGAAUAUUAAAAAAAUAUAAAUAAAAUUUAUUAGGUGAAAUUUUUAAAUUUUAAAAAAAUUUUAGGUUUAUUUAAUGAAGUUAAGAAAUUUUGAGUAUAAACUAGGAUUAGAUACCCUAUUAUUAAAAACAUUAAAUUUUAAUAUUAAAAUAGUAAUAGUUAUUUUCUUGAAAAUUAAAGAAUUUGGCGGUAUUUUAGUCUUUUCAGAGGAACCUGUCCUGUAAUUGAUACUCCACGUUUAAUGAAAUUUAUAUUAUAAAUUUAUAUAUCGUCGUUAUUUGAAUAUUUUGUUAGAAUGUAAAUAUUCAAAAAUUUUUAUUAAAAAAUAAAUCAGAUCAAGGUGUAGUUAAUAUAUAAAAAGAGAUGGGUUACAAUAAAUUUAUUUAAAUGGAUAAUUUUUUGAGAUAAAAAUUUGAAAGUGGAUUUGAUAGUAAUUUAAAUAAUUUAAUUAAAAUGAUUUUAGCUCUAAAAUAUGUACAUAUCGCCCGUCACUUUCAUAUAAAAUGAAAUAAGUCGUAACAAAGUAGGUUUACUGGAAAGUGUACCUAGAAAGAC